CAGUAGCCGCGGGAAUACGGAGGGAGCUAGCGUUGUUCGGAAUUACUGGGCGUAAAGCGCACGUAGGCGGUUAUUCAAAUCAGAGGUGAAAGCCCGGGGCUCAACCCCGGAACUGCCUUUGAAACUAGAUGACUAGAAUCUUGGAGAGGUCAGUGGAAUUCCGAGUGUAGAGGUGAAAUUCGUAGAUAUUCGGAAGAACACCAGUGGCGAAGGCGACUGACUGGACAAGUAUUGACGCUGAGGUGCGAAAGCGUGGGGAGCAAACAGGAUUAGAUACCCCCGUAGUCCCUGUCUCUUAUAC
rnacentral:rRNA from 1 species